GGUGGGGGGGCGGGCUAUACAUGCAAGUCGAGCGAACUUUUGGGAGCUUGCUCCCAAAAGUUAGCGGCGGACGGGUGAGUAACACGUGGGCAACCUGCCUAUAAGACUGGGAUAACUUCGGGAAACCGGAGCUAAUACCGGAUAACAUAUGAGACCACAUGGUCUCAUAUUGAAAGAUGGCUUUUAGCUAUCACUUAUAGAUGGGCCCGCGGCGCAUUAGCUAGUUGGUGAGGUAAUGGCUCACCAAGGCAACGAUGCGUAGCCGACCUGAGAGGGUGAUCGGCCACACUGGGACUGAGACACGGCCCAGACUCCUACGGGAGGCAGCAGUAGGGAAUCUUCCGCAAUGGACGAAAGUCUGACGGAGCAACGCCGCGUGAGCGAAGAAGGUCUUCGGAUCGUAAAGCUCUGUUGUUAGGGAAGAACAAGUACCGUUCGAAUAGGGCGGUACCUUGACGGUACCUAACCAGAAAGCCACGGCUAACUACGUGCCAGCAGCCGCGGUAAUACGUAGGUGGCAAGCGUUAUCCGGAAUUAUUGGGCGUAAAGCGCGCGCAGGCGGUCCUUUAAGUCUGAUGUGAAAGCCCACGGCUCAACCGUGGAGGGUCAUUGGAAACUGGGGGACUUGAGUGCAGAAGAGGAGAGCGGAAUUCCACGUGUAGCGGUGAAAUGCGUAGAGAUGUGGAGGAACACCAGUGGCGAAGGCGGCUCUCUGGUCUGUAACUGACGCUGAGGCGCGAAAGCGUGGGGAGCGAACAGGAUUAGAUACCCUGGUAGUCCACGCCGUAAACGAUGAGUGCUAAGUGUUAGAGGGUUUCCGCCCUUUAGUGCUGCAGCAAACGCAUUAAGCACUCCGCCUGGGAGUACGGUCGCAAGACUGAAACUCAAAGGAAUUGACGGGGGCCCGCACAAGCGGUGGAGCAUGUGGUUUAAUUUCGAAGCAACGCGAAGAACCUUACCAGUCUUGACAUCCCUGUAUGACCAUCUCUCUAGAAAGAAUAAGGAGCUUUCCCCUUUCGGGGACAUACAGUGACAGUGAUGCAUGAUUGUCGUCAGCUCGUGUCGUGGAGAAUGUUGGUUAAGUUCCCGCACGAGCGCAUCCAUGAUCUAGCUGCAGCAUUCAGCUGGGUCACCUCCUAAGGGUGAACUGGC
rnacentral:rRNA from 2 species